GAGACUUCAAAAGUCCACACCAGGCUGCCUCGCCCUCUCUCUGCCUGCUAGCUGGGGAUCGUAUGUGAGCUCUUGGAACUGCUCCAGUGGCCUGCCUGCCUGCCACCAUGCUCUCCACUGCGAUAUUCAUGGGCCAAUCCUCUAACGCCGUCAGCAAGCCUCCACACUGAAUGCUUUGUUUCGGGUAUGUGCACCUGAGGGCGGAUGCCCAAGGAGGCCAGAAGAGGAUUUUGAUUCCCCUGAGCUGCAGUUAUAGGUGCACAGCCAUCCUUAUCCUCAAAAGGAGUUGAAUGGAGUCUCUCUGGACAAGGCACAGCCUGAUGUCAACACUCAGCAUCACUAAAGGGGUGCAGGAUUGAACAGCAACAAGAGAGUCCAGAUACAGCUGUUUGAAUCUACUCAUAUACUGAAUGCUUGGACCACAGUUGGUGAAACUGUCUGGGAAGGAGGUGUGGGGGUGGGCCCGUGCCAUUUGUUAGUCUCUCUCUCUCUCUCUCUCUCUCUCUCUCUCUCUCUC